GUACCUUCAAGCUUUGCUUGGUGUUGGGCGUUUUUGUCUCCCUCUUUCUGGGAGACUCGCCUUAAAACGAUUGGCAGCCGGCCUACUGGUUUCGGAGCGCAGCACAUUUUUUGCGCUUUGUAUCAGGAGAAAAGGACGGUACUCCAUCAAGACUUUUACAAUUUUAAC
rnacentral:misc_RNA from 1 species